rnacentral:lncRNA from 1 species
GAGGUCGCCUAUUUAAAUGAAGUCGUGUUCAGCAGUUUCUUGUUCGGCUAUCAGGUUGUGGGGAGGUGGGGGGGGAGAGGAAGGAUUAAAAAAAGACUGAAUUUGUUAAGUAUUGCUUGAAGGGAAGAUGUGGGGAUGACGCACUGCUGCCAACAGAGCGAGAGGGUGGAAACACUGAGAGGGCUGCUUCCCAGAUGUCUCACUGUACAUUGUGUGGCUGUUAUAUGGAAAAGGCUGACGAGAGGAUGAUGGGAAGAAGGCUGUACCAGCAUGGCUCCCUCUGGUACAGCCAUGUCCCAGCCCAGUGUGGUCCCAGGAGGGGAGAGCGAGUGAGGAUGAAGAGGAGGAUGAGGAAGAUGGUUUCUUACUCUCCCUGGCAGAGUAUGAGUGGGUGUCAGCACUGCAGGACAUGGAGCUCUGCACCAACAGCCCAACUAGGCAAGUUACCCCAAUGGGGAUGUUGGGGUAGCCGAUGUAUAAAGAGAGAAGAGGAGUUUGAGAACAACUUAGAAGCUUAGCUUCUCAUUUGUUAGGCUAAGCAACCCUGGAGCAAUGCGCAUUGGGUACUGGGUAACUAUGAUUCCAAUAUGCACAGCUCAUGUGCUUGCAUUGCAGCUUCUCUAUGAGCACCUCACAGAAUACCCUUAUUUUCACAUUAGUUAGCCAAGAAAGUGUCUGAUCUCUGAUAUCUGAUGUCUUUUGUCACUGCUGCAGCUGCGCCCUAGACAGUCAUGCUUACCAAGACCUACAGCAGCUUGUUCAUCAAAUAAAAGACAGACGGGAG